UACAGAGGGGGCAAGCGUUGUUCGGAAUUACUGGGCGUAAAGCGCACGUAGGCGGCUUUCUAAGUCGGGGGUGAAAUCCUGGAGCUCAACUCCAGAACUGCCUUCGAUACUGGAGAGCUUGAGUCCGGGAGAGGUGAGUGGAACUGCGAGUGUAGAGGUGAAAUUCGUAGAUAUUCGCAAGAACACCAGUGGCGAAGGCGGCUCACUGGCCCGGUACUGACGCUGAGGUGCGAAAGCGUGGGGAGCAAACAGG
rnacentral:rRNA from 1 species